rnacentral:ncRNA from 2 species
GGACGAACCUCUGGAGAGCCUCAUCAUUGAGCACCGAAGGAGCAAGCUAUUUGAUAAAUAGUGAAACUCUCAGGUAGAAGGACAGAGCAGAAUGC